AGAAUGAAAGGUGAAGUAUUUUUUUUAAUACAAGACACAAAUUACAGUAGAAAAAGGGCUACUUAACCUGAAAAACUUGUAAAUUAUAUUAAUGUUCUUGUUACCAGUGUAACAAACAUCUUAAGAAUGUACUGAAAAUCAACAGUAUCCUUAAAGGGACUGCAAGAGAACCCUUUGAAUUAAAAACCAUUUUUAAAGAAAUUUGAUAUAAUUGUGUUAGCACACAAAAUGGUUUUUGGUGAGAUUACCUUCGUACGUUGCAACAGUAGUUCACCUAGAGUGUGUUUGUGUGGGCAAGACUCUUGUACUAAGACUUGUGCCUUCUUUGACCCAGGGGCCUUAUUUUCUGCAUGUUAAUUUUCCUGGAGGGUUUUGUAGUAGGAGAAAGAAAAAGGAAUAAAGGUGAACGUAUUAUAUAACACAGUUAAAAAAAAAAAUAGGCAUAUAGCAUGAGAUAGGAGGCCUUGUGUCAAAGACCUGGAUGUGACCCCUUGAAAAGUCCUAGUGUCAGGAUGAUGGUAGGGUCUCUGGACUUAACUAAAAGGACUCUUGGGGAGAUAGAGUACCUGUCUCUCUCAUAGUGUGGUACUGGAAGUAGAGCAGAUGCUUAAAUUGAAGCAUGAUACCAACAGUAUUUUACAAAUAAAGAUGUUAAGCUCUCAACAUUCUAAAACCAAAUAUAACUCUUGGUCUUAUGAAACUUUGUUAUAAAAUUGAAUGUAUAGUUUCCCCUCUGUCAGGAAAGGAGACUUGAAGCUCUGAAACUAACGCAUUGAACCAUUAGUCAUUUAUGGCCCCCAAGUAGCUAUGGUUGCAUGUGUCUUCUCAAAACUUGACGGCUGACUGUUAUUGACCAUUUCAAAGAAAGAACAGUCCUAACACUCCCAAAAUAAGUAAGGUUUUAAAUUUUAAUAUUAAUCACACAUAACAAAUGCUUUUUUAAUUAACAUUUAGAAAGGCCAUAUUGGAAGAGCAAGCACUCGGAGUCAGACUGCUGUUUGAAUCUUGGCUCCCUUAUUUAUUACCUGUGUGCAUAACUCCUGUUUGCCUCAGUUUUCUCAGCUGUAGAAUGAAAAUAAUACCUAUUUCAUUAGGUUGGGAGGAUGAGUGAGUUAAUGUGUGUAAAGUGCUUAGUAGAGUAGCUGGCAUGUGGUAAGCACUAUAGAAGUGUUUACUGUUACUGUGCAGAGUGGUAAUGGUGAGUAUCUGAUCUUUUUUCCUUAACGUGAACAAUAACAAUUCACAUUAUAAUGGAUAUUAAUGUCCACUGCUUAUGAUUUGAGGCCCCUAAUUAUAAAUGUAUUACUGAAAUGUUAACAAAUUACUAAAGUUAGAUGUUAAGUACAUUCUAGUAAAGGUUUAAAUUUUUAUAUUAGAAUAUUUUAGGGCAUGUUUCUUAAUGGGAAGGGGAUACAGAUUAUAAUAAAAUCACCCCUAAUGCUUGUUUGAAAUUAAAGGAGGGUUCCUGGAUCUGGGUCCUACCCCAGACCUAUCCAGGCCAAGGUAUGGCUGGUUUUGAACAAACCACAGGUGAUUCUGAUAACACAUCCCUGGCCAAGACCUAUGUUUUAGGUUAAAUGUAAAAGCAGUUUGAUUGGUUUUUGAAAUGAAGGAGCAAUUACCUUAAUAAGUGGCAGUUUUGUUAGCCCAAUUAUGAAGACUAUUUAUCAAACCAAAAUGAAAUGCAUCUAUUUAACAACUCAUUUUUUUAAAUGCUUGCUUUUGUCACAGUGAAGGAUGUAUAUGUGUUUCAGUUAGAAUGCAGUUGUAAUGCUGAAUGUGUCUGCCUUUAAAAUAGCACAGGCAAACCAUCAGGUAACAUAAAAGGAAAAUCAUAGUUUUGUAAGUGGUAUGUGUCUAGAUUGUAAUUAUAAAAGGUGAACAGUAACGAAUUCAGCUAAGAAAUAUUUUUAAACUUUGAUUUGGCUUUUUGCCUCAACAUGGAUAUUAACUGAAAUGUAAAAGAAGAAAACCUAUUAAAACCAACAAGAUUUUAUAUUUGUUAAAAUUUUUAGAGAGUUCAAUAAAUAUCUGCUGAAUUGCAUUAAGUAUUUGUAUUAUACUAUGAAGCAACCAAUUAGUAUAAAUGAUAAUUUACAAGUUCAACAGUAAACGUAAACAUUCUUUAUAUCUAGGAUUUUUGAGUUGCAAGUUAAACUGAAUUUUCACUGCAGUGGAGAGGAAGAGCAUAGCAGGCAAAAUAACAGCCCUGUACUCACUUUAACAAUAUGCAGUGAAUUCCUGACCAAACAACAAUUCAGGCUUGGAGGAACACUUGACUCUAUGCUGGGAAAACUAGAGUUGAAGCCUGAGAUGUGCAGCUAGGCUAGUCUUAAUAGAUGGUAAUUGUCCAAUUGUUACUGCUCAGAAGUAUGCAGGAAAUAGGAGUAAGGAUCCCUUGGGUUGUUUUGCCCAGAGUUUUUCCCUCCAAAAGUGUUGUCAGGUUUAGUUGACCUAGCUUUCAGAGUAAGUGUGAUGAAGCUGCUAAUUUAGAAACAACUGGCUUAAAUUUGUAUUUUUUAAUUUAGAAAUAUUUUAUGUCUUUACAAUGCUAUUCUGUGCUCUGGUGUGAAAACCUAAAAUAAAUAUCCCAGUCAUUGCACAACCAAUAAAGACUUUAUGCAUUCUUCCAUAGCGAAGAGCUUGAGGAAAUGGAAAAAAUUCCAAAAUUAUAGGCAGUUAGUUGGCAGUACUUUAAAACAGCUUCCUUUAAGCCAUUUCCCCUUAUAAUUUAUGACUGUGUAGAAGGUAAAACAGAACCAAGAAGUGGUCAGCCAGUACAUAUUAUUUUAAACUACACUGAUUAUUUAAAAGAAUCAGAUGCAUUCCAUGAGAACACUAGUUUCCUAAUAGAUAUGGUACAUGGGCCAAGAUUUUUUUUCUUUGCAAGGCCAGCACUAAAUAUUAACUAGGACACUCACUUAUUAUGCAGUAAUUACUAUCAAGGUAUAACAUACUCAAGCUUAGUUUUUUUUUUUUUAGAAAGACCAGGUAAUCACUAAAACCGAUGAUAGAUCAAUCUUAUAAAGCCUUUAUUUAAAAAAUUCUAUAGGACAUCAAAAAUGACUUCUUACAAAGUAUAACCUGCCACGGAAUUUUCUGAAAAUGAACCAUUUUAUUUAAUAGAAGUUUGUUCCUGCAAGACCCAGAGUCAUAAUAACUAAAAUUCAUGAUUAAGGAUGAAGAAAUUAGAAGGUUGCAUUCAUCAGCGAAAGUAGAGUACAAACCUCUUAAUUUCCUUUUGCGCUACAAGCUCCUAGAUAGGGAGGGGGUUAAUUUACAUAUAUCGGUUUUAAUCCUUACAACCUUUAAAGAUAGAGGUAGUAUUUGUAACAACUUUUCAGGAGGAAACAGGCUCCAUGAAGAAAUUAAGUAACUUGCUUAGGGUCCUUAGCAAACGUUAGAACUGGGAUUUAAACAUGACCAGAACCCUUGUUCUUCCCACAUUAUCCUGUUUUUGGUAGGGAGUAUGUAAUUUUUGAGGUGGAAGGAUAAUAAAAGAAGAAAGGGAAAAGGCAGCUAGUUGCUUCUUCAAGUGGAAGAAGAAAAACUCACAGAAAACCUUCCCCCAAGAGGCUAAACAACUUUCUCAUGAGAAAUGACCCAGGAAGCAGUGUGGCCUUGUUAGGAGCUUUGCCUCAGUAAUCCUCACUGCCUUUUAAAAUUCUUUUGUAAUGCUAAAAGCUGUCAUUGUCACGGGGACUAGAAAAGGCAUUUCCACCAGAGUUCUCGUACCUAUUCUAAUCAGAAACUAGAGUCACAAUGAUUUGAUCAGAAUCUUUGGUAAUAAUAUAGACAGAGAUAGGAUUUACCUGUACCUAUUAAUAGCUCAUUCAGGCAUUUUACAUACAGGGUAGCUUAACUCAGGUUAAUGAGGACUAAAUGGGAACUUCUGGACUUGUUUUCAACUGGAAUAAUAGUGUAGCCAAAGGGAUUCCUUAAUGUUAUUUGGAGAGCAGAUAAUAGGAAUGACAAAUAGCUUUGUGUCCUACCUGAAGCAGAUUAUCAGAUACAUUAAACCAUCUGCAGUUAGGUUUACGUGGCAUUAUCAGUCAAGAAGGCACCUAUUUAAAUUAUAGAACAGGAAACUGCAAUGAUUCAAACUGCCAUUAAUUCCAGACUACUGAAGUAGUAUCAACAUAGACAUUUAGGAGUUAGUUGCCUCUCAAGGUGUGGAAGCUCAUUCACAUUGUUUCCUUCAUAGAGAAGGGUGGUACAAAAAGCACUCGGGUAUUCUUCAUUCACAAUUUUUAUUUCUUGCAAUUAACUUUUGUAUCUUCAAAGUCGAUUUGUCUUUUAAAAAAUUAAAACUUCUUACUCAUCAUACAAUCCACACCCUCCCCCAAGGAAAACAAACCCAGGGAAGGAGUAAUUUAGUGGGCAGUUGAAAUAGGUACUAUAGGUUUGUGACAAAGGCUUCCCAGCCCACCAUCCUAUACACAUACAACAAAAUGGCAGCACCUCAAGUUCACCUGAAUGAAUUCCCAAAUUCCAGCCCUAGGCAAGUGAUGCAAGUGAAUGCCAUGGGAAUAACAAAAUGGAAGCUUAGUCACUGGCUUCCAUUUCUUUUCCAUGGUAGUUAGCAGAGUCUUCAAACUGUCUCACUUGGGAAAGUCAAAAGUAAGCAAGUAUAUAGAGCAACAUUUUGACCCAGCCAGGAGUAAUCAUUAAUGAAACCAGAAAUAAUUUACCUGGGCCACAAAAAUGAAUUUGUUUUAUCAUGUUUUUCAUUAAGUCCCCAGCACCUGAAGUAGCAAGUUCUAAUAAUGGGCUUCUAAAGGCAUGCAGUUUUCACAUAUCUACUUCAAAGAAUUUCUUCCACUCAAAACAUAGCACAAUCAAGGAUAAAAUAUUUUUGGAGGCACAGGAAGAGCACAAGAACAAGUAAGUAUACGCUGAUGCCUUGUGUAUGACCAAGAUGGUACACUUCAUAUAUAGAAGCAGUGAAAGCUGUUAAAGUGCUACUUACAAAGGAUAGUCUAACAUUACACACACAACUCAACUCACUGCUAAAUAUGGUUGUCUUUAUUUUCUUUUUCCUUGCCCAGCCCUAUCUAAAACAAAAUAAAACUACAGGACUGAAAUUAACAACCCAUUAAAAUCAGCAAUAAGUUAUGAAAAUCAUAAAGCUUUUUUUUUUUAAGUAAUUAAGGGUAGUUAAAUUAUUUAAAGUAUA